UGUAUCAGUGAUAACUUGGCUCCUUCUACUGAACCCUGUGAGGAGAUUGUCUCUGUUACCCAAAUUCUGUCUGAGAUACA